UUUUUAAUGAUGAAUAGAUGACGAGUAUGAAAAAAUUAAAAAAUAUAUUUGUUUAUAUUUUUAAAUACAUGUUUUUAUGUUUUAUAAAUAUUUAAACAAAUAUAUUUUUUAUUUUUACCAUAUGAUUAUAAUGAGGCAUUUGUCUGAAAAA